AAAACUCAUAUUUUAUCGUACAAGGGUUGUCAUGGGAAUAACGUGGUGCUUCCCAGGUUGACUCCGGAGUGCAAGGAAUAUCUGGGACAAUCAAUCUUUAGCUGGGAUGAAAGCAUUUCCGUGGAUGCAAUGAGACUGCAUGGACUCCGAAGCUCAGCUCGUAUAGAGGAGGAAGCCACCAAAGACAGGCUGUGAAUCUGGGUGUGUUUCCUGCUGUCAAGGAGGGAGAGACAAGGAGCAGAGCAGCAGCUGCAUCGCUGAGCCCCAAAGCCGCACGCACAGCUGCCUGUGACAGACGCUCACCAUAUGAAGUGUGACACACCUCUGAGGGAGGGGACAGUGUCCUGAGGGAGGGGACAGUGUCCUGAGGGAGGGAACAGUGUCCUGAGGGAGGGGACAGUGGCAGCACGGGGCCUCCUGGGGCCACACACCCUCCUGCGAAGCCGUCCAAAACGGCCCGAUACUCCACAAUGGGGAACAUUUCACAUAAUGUCAGGGUCUCCAUGAAUAAAUGUUUCAUGGCUUUUUUUCCCAACUAAUUUUAAGGUUAUUUAGAACUGUUUAUCAUUGUUAAUGUUAACAGUAAUAUAGUUUUCAGUUUUACAGUCACAUCCUUUAAAUGUCACCACCCCCCCCCCCCCAUAUAACUUGUAUAACUGUUGCAUUAGAAACGGAAGGAGACGAUGAGUGUGUGGUAGACGUGGGACAGAGUGUCACCAAGAGGCUCCUGUGUAAUUAGGCUGUUUUCCGCUGUUCAUGACUAAUGCCUUCCUUCAGAAUGGGCUUGUCUGUGACACUAACGAGCGCCGGUUUCGGCUGGUGGCCAAAGUGGCCAGGAGGUCGCUUCUCAGGGUCAAACUGAGCCUCUCGGGGGGGGGGGGCAGCCAGUGCCUGGCAGGGCCCAGCAGGGGGCACUGUUUCCCACCA